rnacentral:rRNA from 1 species
ACGAACGCUGGCGGCGUGCUUAACACAUGCAAGUCGAACGGUGAAGCGCCUUCCUUUUUGGUGGGUGUGGAUGAGUGGCGAACGGGUGAGUAACACGUGAGUAACCUGCCCCCUUCUUCUGGAUAACCGCAUGAAAGUGUGGCUAAUACGGGAUAUUCUGGGUCUGUCGCAUGAUGGGUCUGGGAAAGAUAUUGUUUCGGUGGGGGAUGGGCUCGCGGCCUAUCAGCUUGUUGGUGGGGUGAUGGCCUACCAAGGCGGUGACGGGUAGCCGGCCUGAGAGGGUGGACGGUCACACGGGGACGGAGACACGGCCCAGACUCCUACGGGAGGCAGCAGGGGGGAAUAUUGCACAAUGGGCGCAAGCCUGAUGCAGCGACGCCGCGUGAGGGAUGGAGGCCUUCGGGUUGUGAACCUCUUUCGCCAGUGAAGCAGGCCUGCCUCGUUUGUGGGUGGGUUGACGGUAGCUGGAUAAGAAGCGCCGGCUAACUACGUG